CGUUGUUCGGAAUUACUGGGCGUAAAGGGCGCGUAGGCGGUUUCGGAAGUCAUGGGUGAAAGUCCUCGGCUCAACCGAGGGAUUGCCUGUGAAACCACGGGACUGGAGUGCUGGAGAGGGAAGUGGAAUUCCCAGUGUAGCGGUGAAAUGCGUAGAUAUUGGGAGGAACACCUGUGGCGAAGGCGGCUUCCUGGACAGACACUGACGCUGAGGCGCGAAAGCCAGGGGAGCGAACGGGAUUAGAUACCCCGGUAGUCCUGGCUGUAAACGAUGAACACUUGGUGUGGGGGGUGAUGAAAGUCCCUCUGUGCCGGAGAGAACUCGUUAAGUGUUCCGCCUGGGGAGUACGGCCGCAAGGCUGAAACUCAAAGGAAUUGACGGGGGCCCGCACAAGCGGUGGAGCAUGUGGUUUAAUUCGACGCAACGCGAAGAACCUUACCGGGGUUUGAACUGUAGCUGAACGAUCUAGAGAUGGAGAGGUUCCUUUCGGGGACAGCUACAGAGGUGCUGCAUGGCUGUCGUCAGCUCGUGUCGUGAGAUGUUGGGUUAAGUCCCGCAACGAGCGCAACCCUUGUCUGUAGUUGCCAUCAAGUGAAGCUGGGCACUCUACGGAGACUGUCGGCGAGAAGCCGGAGGAAGGUGGGGAUGACGUCAAGUCCUCAUGGCCUUUAUGUCCCGGGCUACACACGUGCUACAAUGGGCGGUACAGAGGGUAGCGACCCUGUGAAGGCAAGCGAAUCCCAGAAAACCGCUCUCAGUUCGGAUUGCAGUCUGCAACUCGACUGCAUGAAGUUGGAAUCGCUAGUAAUCGCGGAUCAGAACGCCGCGGUGAAUACGUUCCCGGGCCUUGUACACACCGCCCGUCACAUCACGAAAGUGGGCUGUACUAGAAG
rnacentral:rRNA from 1 species